AGAGUUUGAUCCUGGCUCAGGAUGAACGCUAGCGGGAGGCCUAACACAUGCAAGUCGAGCGGGAAUCCCUUUCGGGGGAUGAGAGCGGCGCACGGGUGAGUAACGCGUAUGCAACCUGCCCCGGACAGGGGGAUAGCCCGGAGAAAUCCGGAUUAAUACCCCAUAUGAUUCAUUAUUCGCAUGACUAAUUGAUCAAAGCUACGGCGGUUCGGGAUGGGCAUGCGUGACAUUAGCUGGUUGGUGAGGUAACGGCUCACCAAGGCUGCGAUGUCUAGGGGUUCUGAGAGGAUGAUCCCCCACACUGGUACUGAGACACGGACCAGACUCCUACGGGAGGCAGCAGUGAGGAAUAUUGGUCAAUGGGCGCAAGCCUGAACCAGCCAUCCCGCGUGAAGGAAGACGGCCCUAUGGGUUGUAAACUUCUUUUGUACAUGAAGAAAGGGACCUACGGGUAGGUUCGUGACGGUAAUGCACGAAUAAGCAUCGGCUAACUCCGUGCCAGCAGCCGCGGUAAUACGGAGGAUGCGAGCGUUAUCCGGAUUCAUUGGGUUUAAAGGGUACGUAGGUGGCCCGGUAAGUCAGUGGUGAAAACCUGCCGCUUAACGGUAGGCGUGCCAUUGAUACUGUCGGGCUUGAGUGCAGUUGAGNCAGGCGGAAUGUGUAGUGUAGCGGUGAAAUGCAUAGAUAUUACACAGAACUCCGAUUGCGAAGGCAGCUUGCUAAAGUGCAACUGACGCUGAUGUACGAAAGCGUGGGUAGCGAACAGGAUUAGAUACCCUGGUAGUCCACGCCGUAAACGAUGCUCACUGGCUGUAUGCGAUACACAGUAUGCGGCCAAGCGAAAGCGCUAAGUGAGCCACCUGGGGAGUACGCCGGCAACGGUGAAACUCAAAGGAAUUGACGGGGGCCCGCACAAGCGGAGGAACAUGUGGUUUAAUUCGAUGAUACGCGAGGAACCUUACCCGGGCUUGAAAUGCAUCUGACGUACUGUGAAAGCAGUAUUCUAGCAAUAGCAGAUGUGUAGGUGCUGCAUGGUUGUCGUCAGCUCGUGCCGUGAGGUGUCGGCUUAAGUGCCAUAACGAGCGCAACCCUUAUCAAUAGUUACCAUCAGGUCAAGCUGGGGACUCUAUUGAGACUGCCACCGUAAGGUGUGAGGAAGGUGGGGAUGACGUCAAAUCAGCACGGCCCUUACGUCCGGGGCGACACACGUGUUACAAUGGGGGGUACAGAGGGCCGCUACCUGGCAACAGGAUGCGAAUCUCAUAAAGCCCCUCUCAGUUCGGAUCGGAGUCUGCAACUCGACUCCGUGAAGCUGGAUUCGCUAGUAAUCGCGCAUCAGCCAUGGCGCGGUGAAUACGUUCCCGGGCCUUGUACACACCGCCCGUCAAGCCAUGGAAGCCGGGGGUACCUGAAGUACGUAACCGCAAGGAGCGUCCUAGGGUAAAACUGGUAACUGGGGCUAAGUCGUAACAAGGUAACC
rnacentral:rRNA from 1 species